CAUAGGUUUAGUCUAAAACAUUUCUAAUUGAUGAUACCGGAAUAUAAACAAUUAAAUUAAUGAAAAUAAAAAUGUAUUAAUUUCGGUUAUUUUAUUUCAAACAACGCAAGAGAUUCACGUCCAAUCAGCAGCGAUCUAUCCCACAACGUCUUUCUUCUACAACAAGAAGUACUUUGACAAGCGCCAUUUUGAUGAAACCAGGAGUAGGUGAAACGUGGAGGAGAGGACACGUGUGUGCUGUAAAUAUAUUACUUGUUGAGCAUGUGAAAUGACAAGUACCAACUCGGAGAGGUUCUUAAAACGAAUUUUAGUUUUGCGCCAGCAUCACUCAAAGUGUGAAUCCCUCUAUGAUAAAAUGGUAUAGUUGACAGCUACACUCUCAUUAGUUUGCACAUCACAGUAAUGUUCCUGUUUGACAAUUCUCUAAAUAAAUUGUGUAUGGGAUGAGGCAAAAUUGUAAUAUAAAAGGAUGAUGUUGCUCUUAUUAAAUCAAUAAUAGACCAUUUAAUGCAAUGAACUGCUAUAGACCCAGGACUUGGAGAUGGAGGCAUACUGUAGAUGACUGUUACUGUUUGCCUGUGUGCCAUGUGAAGAAAGAGCAAUCAUUGUUCAUAUGCAAUAAAAACAUUCUUGAGAAAAUGUCUUAUGGGCAUGAAUAGUGGAAUUAGAUGAUCAUUUCAUAGCUUAUACUGUAUGUUUGUUACAGGCAACCAUGGGGAAGCA